rnacentral:misc_RNA from 1 species
CAGAGAACCUGCCCUUCGGGGUAGAUCUCCCACCCUUUGUUUAUCAUACCUUUGUUGCCUCGGCGGGACCGCCCGAGAGGGCCGCCGGACUCGCGCCGGCCAGCUCCCGCCAGAGGACCCAAAACUCUAGUCAUCUUCUGUCUGAGUAAAUUAUAAAUAAGUUA